GUGCUAUACAUGCAGUCGAGCGGACAGAUGGGAGCUUGCUCCCUGAUGUUAGCGGCGGACGGGUGAGUAACACGUGGGUAACCUGCCUGUAAGACUGGGAUAACUCCGGGAAACCGGGGCUAAUACCGGAUGCUUGUUUGAACCGCAUGGUUCAAACAUAAAAGGUGGCUUCGGCUACCACUUACAGAUGGACCCGCGGCGCAUUAGCUAGUUGGUGAGGUAAUGGCUCACCAAGGCGACGAUGCGUAGCCGACCUGAGAGGGUGAUCGGCCACACUGGGACUGAGACACGGCCCAGACUCCUACGGGAGGCAGCAGUAGGGAAUCUUCCGCAAUGGACGAAAGUCUGACGGAGCAACGCCGCGUGAGUGAUGAAGGUUUUCGGAUCGUAAAGCUCUGUUGUUAGGGAAGAACAAGUACCGUUCGAAUAGGGCGGUACCUUGACGGUACCUAACCAGAAAGCCACGGCUAACUACGUGCCAGCAGCCGCGGUAAUACGUAGGUGGCAAGCGUUGUCCGGAAUUAUUGGGCGUAAAGGGCUCGCAGGCGGUUUCUUAAGUCUGAUGUGAAAGCCCCCGGCUCAACCGGGGAGGGUCAUUGGAAACUGGGGAACUUGAGUGCAGAAGAGGAGAGUGGAAUUCCACGUGUAGCGGUGAAAUGCGUAGAGAUGUGGAGGAACACCAGUGGCGAAGGCGACUCUCUGGUCUGUAACUGACGCUGAGGAGCGAAAGCGUGGGGAGCGAACAGGAUUAGAUACCCUGGUAGUCCACGCCGUAAACGAUGAGUGCUAAGUGUUAGGGGGUUUCCGCCCCUUAGUGCUGCAGCUAACGCAUUAAGCACUCCGCCUGGGGAGUACGGUCGCAAGACUGAAACUCAAAGGAAUUGACGGGGGCCCGCACAAGCGGUGGAGCAUGUGGUUUAAUUCGAAGCAACGCGAAGAACCUUACCAGGUCUUGACAUCCUCUGACAAUCCUAGAGAUAGGACGUCCCCUUCGGGGGCAAAGUGACAGGUGGUGCAUGGUUGUCGUCAGCUCCUGUCCUGAAAUGUUGGGUUAAGUCCCGCAACGAGCGCAACCCUUGAUCUUAGUUGCCAGCAUUCAGUUGGGCACUCUAAGGUGACUGCCGGUGACAAACCGGAGGAAGGUGGGGAUGACGUCAAAUCAUCAGGCCCCUUAUGACCG
rnacentral:rRNA from 1 species